rnacentral:tRNA from 1 species
UCCGAUAUGGUGUAGUGGCCAACAUGAUGCCCUCUCAUCUCUGUUGAGAGGUUAGGCAUAGCCCCGAGUUCGAUUCUCGGUUUCGGAA